UUUCCGUAGGUGAACCUGCGGAAGGAUCAUUAAUUAUAUAAGGCCACAGGGCAAGCGUUCCGAAAGGAUCGAGCUUGCUGUUUGAACCCUACCUACCCUUGCUUUUUGCGUACCCAUUGUUUCCUCGGCAGGCUUGCCUGUCAGUAGGACCCUCUUAAACCCUUUGUAAUUGCAGUCAGCGUCAGAAACAACGUAAUCGUUACAACUUUCAACAACGGAUCUCUUGGUUCUG
rnacentral:misc_RNA from 1 species